rnacentral:rRNA from 1 species
UGAAAAGAACUGAGGUGAUCAGAGUGAAAUAGAACCUGAAACCAUUUGCUUACAAUCAUUCAGAGCCCUAUGUAGCAAUACAGGGUGAUGGACUGCCUUUUGCAUAAUGAGCCUGCGAGUUGUGGUGUCUGGCAAGGUUAAGCAAACGCGAAGCCGUAGCGAAAGCGAGUCUGAAUAGGGCGCUUAGUCAGAUGCUGCAGACCCGAAACGAAGUGAUCUAUCCAUGAGCAAGUUGAAGCUAGUGUAAGAACUAGUGGAGGACUGAACCCAUAGGCGUUGAAAAGCCCCGGGAUGACUUGUGGAUAGGGGUGAAAGGCCAAUCAAACUUCGUGAUAGCUGGUUCUCUCCGAAAUAUAUUUAGGUAUAGCGUUGUGUCGUAAUAUAAGGGGGUAGAGCACUGAAUGGGCUAGGGCAUACACCAAUGUACCAAACCCUAUCAAACUCCGAAUACCUUAUAUGUAAUCACAGCAGUCAGGCGGCGAGUGAUAAAAUCCGUCGUCAAGAGGGAAACAACCCAGACUACCAGCUAAGGUCCCUAAAUCUUACUUAAGUGGAAAACGAUGUGAAGUUACUUAAACAACCAGGAGGUUGGCUUAGAAGCAGCCAUCCUUUAAAGAAAGCGUAAUAGCUCACUGGUCUAGUGAUUUUGCGCGGAAAAUAUAACGGGGCUAAAGUAAGUACCGAAGCUGUAGACUUGCACACAACUUAGAUUAUUUAAGUUUAGAAUAUGAGAAACUAAGUUAUAUGUUUAGUUAUAUUUUUACUGAUUUUUAUAGAGUAAAGAUAGAAAUAAAACUUAGUAAAAUCAGUAAAAAUAUUCUUAGACUAAAGUUAAGUAGUUUAAGUUGUGUGCAAGUGGUAGGAGAGCGUUCUAUUUGCGCCGAAGGUAUACCGGUAAGGAGUGCUGGAGCGAAUAGAAGUGAGCAUGCAGGCAUGAGUAGCGAUAAUUAAUGUGAGAAUCAUUAACGCCGUAAACCCAAGGUUUCCUACGCGAUGCUCGUCAUCGUAGGGUUAGUCGGGUCCUAAGUCGAGUCCGAAAGGGGUAGACGAUGGCAAAUUGGUUAAUAUUCCAAUACCAACAUUAGUGUGCGAUGGAAGGACGCUUAGGGCUAAGGGGGCUAGCGGAUGGAAGUGCUAGUCUAAGGUCGUAGGAGGUUAUACAGGCAAAUCCGUAUAACAAUACUCCGAGAACUGAAAGGCUUUUUGAAGUCUUCGGAUGGAUAGAAGAACCCCUGAUGCCGUCGAGCCAAGAAAAGUUUCUAAGUUUAGCUAAUGUUGCCCGUACCGUAAACCGACACAGGUGGGUGGGAUGAGUAUUCUAAGGCGCGUGGAAGAACUCUCUUUAAGGAACUCUGCAAAAUAGCACCGUAUCUUCGGUAUAAGGUGUGGUUCGCUUCGUACUAGGAUUUACUCCGAAAGCGAAGAAACUUACAACAAAGAGUCCCUCCCGACUGUUUACCAAAAACACAGCACUCUGCUAACUCGUAAGAGGAUGUAUAGGGUGUGACGCCUGCCCGGUGCUCGAAGGUUAAUUGAUGGGGUUAGCAUUAGCGAAGCUCUUGAUCGAAGCCCGAGUAAACGGCGGCCGUAACUAUAACGGUCCUAAGGUAGCGAAAUUCCUUGUCGGUUAAAUACCGACCUGCAUGAAUGGCGUAACGAGAUGGGAGCUGUCUCAAAGAGGGAUCCAGUGAAAUUGUAGUGGAGGUGAAAAUUCCUCCUACCCGCGGCAAGACGGAAAGACCCCGUGGACCUUUACUACAGCUUGACACUGCUACUUGGAUAAGAAUGUGCAGG